rnacentral:rRNA from 1 species
UACGUAGGUGACCAGCGUUGUCCGGAAUCAUUGGGCGUAAAGGGCGCGUAGGUGGCCCGGUCAGUCAGUGGUGAAAGCGCGGGGCUCAACUCCGCGUCGGCCAUUGAUACUGCUGGGCUUGAGCACUGUAGAGGCAGGCGGAAUUCCGGGUGUAGCGGUGGAAUGCGUAGAGAUCCGGAAGAACACCGGUGGCGAAGGCGGCCUGCUGGGCAGUAGCUGACACUGAGGCGCGACAGCGUGGGGAGCAAACAGG